AAAGAAUUAGUUAAAAAAUAACAUAAAUAUGUCAAAUUUAAAUUAUUAUUAUAAUUAAUAUUCUUUU
rnacentral:tRNA from 1 species